rnacentral:tRNA from 1 species
GGGGUUAACUCAGUUGGUAGAGUGCUUGCCUUACAUGCAUAAAGCCCUGGGUUCAAUCACCAGCACCACA